rnacentral:rRNA from 1 species
GUCCACGCCCUAAACGAUGUUUACUUGCUGUUUGUCUUUCGGGAUGAGUGGCGAAGCGAAAGCGAUAAGUAAACCACCUGGGGAGUACGCCCGCAAGGGUGAAACUCAAAGGAAUUGACGGGGUCCGCACAAGCGGUGGAGCAUGUGGUUUAAUUCGAUGAUACGCGAGGAACCCUACCUAGGCUAGAAUGCGAGUGACCGGUAUUGAAAGAUACUUUUCCGCAAGGACACAAAGCAAGGUGCUGCAUGGCUGUCGU